rnacentral:rRNA from 1 species
UACAGGGGGUGCAAACGUUGCUCGGAAUUAUUGGGCGUAAAGCGCACGUAGGCGGUCACUUAGGUCGCAUGUGAAAGCCCUUGGCUCAACCGAGGAAGUGCACCCGAAACUGCUGAGCUUGAGUGCCGGAGAGGAUGGCGGAAUACCCCAAGUAGAGGUGAAAUUCGUAGAUAUGGGGUGGAACACCGGUGGCGAAGGCGGCCAUCUGGACGGUAACUGACGCUGAGACGCGAAAGCGUGGGGAGCAAACGGG